AUUUUAAAAUAUAAAAAUAAUUUUAGAUUAGUAUUAAAUAUAUUUAUGAAAUUAAAAUAAUUUGGCGGUAUUUUAGUCUAUUCAGAGGAAUUUGUUUUAUAAUUGAUAAUCCUCAUUAAAUCUUACUUACUUUAUUAAUUUGUAUAUCGUUGUCAUUAGAAUAUUUUAUAAGAAAAAUAAAUUUCUUAAAUUACUAUAAAAUUUUAUGUCAAAUCAAGGUGCAGUUUAUAUGUAAGUAAAAAUGAAUUACAAUAAUAUUUAAUUAAAUGGAUUAAAGAUUGAAAUAUUUUUAUGAAGGUGGAUUUGAUAGUAAAUUUAAUAAGUAAAUUAAAUUGAUUAUAGCUCUAAAAUAUGUAC
rnacentral:rRNA from 1 species